UUCAUGGAGAGUUUGAUCCUGGCUCAGGACGAACGCUGGCGGCGUGCCUAAUACAUGCAAGUCGAGCGGACAGAUGGGAGCUUGCUCCCUGAUGUCAGCGGCGGACGGGUGAGUAACACGUGGGUAACCUGCCUGUAAGACUGGGAUAACUCCGGGAAACCGGGGCUAAUACCGGAUGCUUGAUUGAACCGCAUGGUUCAAUUAUAAAAGGUGGCUUCGGCUACCACUUACAGAUGGACCCGCGGCGCAUUAGCUAGUUGGUGAGGUAACGGCUCACCAAGGC
rnacentral:rRNA from 1 species